ensembl:lncRNA
CCAGUGCUGAUGGGAUCUAAAUUCUUUUCUUGUUUUUCCUUUUAGUCAUUGAAAGCAGCUAUCAGGAGGGAAGAAGUUCAAACACAGGGAUAAGGACUCCUGGUGCUCCGGUGGACAGUGUGGAGCUGGUGAUGAUGCUGGCUGGGAGCAGGGAAUGGGCAUCACUUCCUGCCAAACACGGAGCGGUGCCAGCGGGGAGCAAGGUCAUGGGGCACAUUGGUCCUCUGGCUGGCAAUGGGGAUGUCACCCCACCGGGAGCAGGACCCCCAGACAACCCAUCUGCUGGGACAGCAACCCACCUGCCCACCCACAGCCAUCCUCCUGAUGCUGGAAGCCAUCACCAUGCUGUAGGCAGCCAGGAGAGAGGCAAGAGGGCUCUGGAUUUUCCCAACAGCCCUGCAGCUUCUGAAAGGACACCACCAGGCUUGGAAACCGUCAGCACUGAUUCGGCUGAGGGGACAAAGGGUGGGCACCGUGGGGUCUGGAACAUGUUGGGGUUUAACAACACAAUGAGGACAGUGCUGCUCCCUUCAUCUUCAGAAUCUCAUCACCCAGGCACUGACAGCCCCUCUCGACUGGUGAGCAGCUGGGUGGGCACAGAACUGUCCAGCAGCUCCCCCGUGGACACUGCAGCCACUUCACCCAGCCCCUCCAGGAGCAGUGGGGGAACCAGCCUCGGCACUGCCCUCCGUGGCUCCCUGAGACAGCCCCAAUCCUCCCCCCGAGCUUCAAGUACCCAGACUGGUGCAGACCAGGUCUUGCUACACCUCAGGGGUGUCACAGGGAACUCCACAAGCCCUUUGCUCACAGCAUCGCCUGCCACUGACAGCGCUUUCAGAGCUGUUGGGAGCAGCGCCAGGGCUGCAGAAAAGAAGAGAUCUGGUAUCCAAAGGACAGCACCUGGCUUCACAGCUCAGCCCCUGGCCUCUGUGCCCUCCUCAGUGGCCCUGGCACAGGGACGUUUCCCUGGGCCUUCCACAGAGCACCAACUUGUCCCUUCUCUCCCAGCUUUGGAAAGCACUGCCACAGCCGUUGGAAGCAGCUACCAGCCAUCCAGCAACUCAGCCACGGAGAGGAGAGCUUCGGAUUUCCCUGCCACCAGUACCUCCAUUUCCACAACAGCCACCAAGGGUGGAGGGAGGACGUUAAGGUCUCUGCCAGCCAGCACUGGGCUGGUCAGUGUGGCAGAGAUUUCCACCUCUGGCACUGAAAUCAUCAGCUCUUCAGCCCAGACCCCUGGGAUGUCUAUGGGUGCCCAGGACGGUGAUGGCAGAGGUUUCACAGACCCCUUGCUCACAGGCUUGCCACCUGCUUCACAAAACACUUCCACAACCUUUAGCAGCAGUUACAAACCCAAGAGUGUCCCAGCUGCAGAAGAGGCGACGCUGCACUCAGGCACACGUGGUGCUGACGUGCCCAGCGUGGCAGUGGGGACUGCAAAUGGCCACAUAGCUGGGCUGACAAGAGGCUCUGCCACCAGCACCGGCCCCACAAGCUCUUUGGGGGUGACCUCCUCCUCCUUAGGGACUGGGACACAUCGUCCCAACAGCUCACGGGAAGCUACUGAUCUCCCAGCUCCUCCCAGGGAUCCUUUGCUCACAAGCUCUGAAAGCACGUCCAGAGGUAAAUCUGUCAGUCUGAAAGCUGUCUGCCUUGGGGCUGGAUGAGACUUCACAUCCCUGCUCUGUUUUUCUUUGGACACAGCCAUUAGUCACUAUUGGAUACAUGGAU